rnacentral:rRNA from 1 species
UACAGAGGGUGCAAGCGUUAAUCGGAAUUACUGGGCGUAAAGCGUGCGUAGACGGCUAUGUAAGUCAGGUGUGAAAGCCCCGGGCUCAACCUGGGAAUUGCAUUUGAGACUGCAUAGCUAGGGUGCGGAAGAGGGAAGCGGAAUUUCCGGUGUAGCGGUGAAAUGCGUAGAUAUCGGAAGGAACACCAGUGGCGAAAGCGGCUUCCUGGUCCAGCACCGACGUUCAGGCACGAAAGCGUGGGGAGCAAACAGG